rnacentral:rRNA from 1 species
UACAGAGACUGCAAGCGUUAUUCGGAUUCACUGGGCGUAAAGGGUGCGCAGGUGGCCAAGUGUGUUAGGCGUGAAAGCCCGGGGCUUAACCCCGGAAUUGCACCUAAAACUACAUGGCUAGAGCAUUGGAGAGGGGAGCAGAAUUCACGGUGUAGCAGUGAAAUGCGUAGAUAUCGUGAGGAAUACCAGAGGCGAAGGCGGCCCCCUGGACAAUUGCUGACACUCAGGCACGAAAGCGUGGGGAGCAAAAGGG